rnacentral:rRNA from 1 species
UCGCCUGUUUAUCAAAAACAUGGUUUCUUGAUAUUUUAUUGUAUAAGAGAUCUGACCUGCCCACUGAAAAAUUUGAAGGGCCGCAGUAUUUUGACUGUGCAAAGGUAGCAUAAUCAUUAGUCUUUUAAUUGAAGGCUGGAAUGAAUGGUUGGACGAGGUAAAACCUGUCUUAUUUUUUAAUGUAAAUUGAAUUUAAAUUUUAAGUAAAAAUGCUUAAAUGUGAUUAAGGGACGAGAAGACCCUAUAGAGUUUAAUAUUCGUAAUUUUAAUUGAGUUUAAGCUUAAUUUUUGAUUACUAUAAAGAAUAUUUAAUUGGGGUGAUUAGAAGAUACAUGAAACUCUUCUUUAAUUUUAAUAAAAUAAGUAAAUUGAAGAUCCAUUAAUAAUGAUUAUAAGAUUAAAUUACCUUAGGGAUAACAGCAUAAUUCUUUUUGAGAGUUCUAAUCGAGAAGGGAGCUUGUGACCUCGAUGUUGGACUAAGAUAAAUUGUGGGUGCAGAAGUUCACUAAUUAAGUCUGUUCGACUUUUAAAUUCUUACAUGAUCUGAGUUCAAACCGGAGA